rnacentral:ncRNA from 1 species
GCGUACACGGUGGAUGCCUAGGCAGUCAGAGGCGAUGAAGGGCGUGCUAAUCUGCGAUAAGCGUCGGUAAGGUGAUAUGAACCGUUAUAACCGGCGAUACCCGAAUGGGGAAACCCAGUGUGUUUCGACACAUUAUCAUAACAUGAAUACAUAGUGUUAUGAGGCGAACCGGGGGAACUGAAACAUCUAAGUACCCCGAGGAAAAGAAAUCAACCGAGAUUCCCCUAGUAGCGGCGAGCGAACGGGGAGCAGCCCAGAACCUGAAUCCAGUUUGUGUGUUAGUGGAAGCGUCUGGAAAGUCGCGCGAUACAGGGUGAUAGUCCCGUACACCAAAAUGCACAGAUUGUGAGUUCGAUGAGUAGGGCGGGACACGUGAUAUCCUGUCUGAAGAUGGGGGGACCAUCCUCCAAGGCUAAAUACUCUGAACUGACCGAUAGUGAACCAGUACCGUGAGGGAAAGGCGAAAAGAACCCCGGCGAGGGGAGUGAAACAGAACCUGAAACCGUGUACGUACAAGCAGUGGGAGCACUCUUUAGGGGUGUGACUGCGUACCUUUUGUAUAAUGGGUCAGCGACUUAUAUUUUGUAGCAAGGUUAACCGAAUAGGGGAGCCCGUAGGGAAACCGAGUCUUAACUGGGCGUCAUAGUUGCAAGGUAUAGACCCGAAACCCGGUGAUCUAGCCAUGGGCAGGUUGAAGGUUGGGUAACACUAACUGGAGGACCGAACCGACUAAUGUUGAAAAAUUAGCGGAUGACCUGUGGCUGGGGGUGAAAGGCCAAUCAAACCGGGAGAUAGCUGGUUCUCCCCGAAAGCUAUUUAGGUAGCGCCUCGUGAACUCAUCUUCGGGGGUAGAGCACUGUUUCGACUAGGGGGUCAUCCCGACUUACCAACUCGAUGCAAACUCCGAAUACCGAAGAAUGUUAUCACGGGAGACACACGGCGGGUGCUAACGUCCGUCGUGAAGAGGGAAACAACCCAGACCGCCAGCUAAGGUCCCAAAGUCAUGGUUAAGUGGGAAACGAUGUGGGAAGGCACAGACAGCCAGGAUGUUGGCUUAGAAGCAGCCAUCAUUUAAAGAAAGCGUAAUAGCUCACUGGUCGAGUCGGCCUGCGCGGAAGAUGUAACGGGGCUAAACCAUGCACCGAAGCUGCGGCAGCGAUAUGAAAAUAUUGUUGGGUAGGGGAGCGUUCUGUAAGCCUGCGAAGGUGGACUGUGAGGUCUGCUGGAGGUAUCAGAAGUGCGAAUGCUGACAUAAGUAACGAUAAAGCGGGAAAAGCCGCUCGCCGGAAGACCAAGGGUUCCUGUCCAACGUUAAUCGGGGCAGGGUAACGCGUUAAGUCGACCGCCUGGGGAGUACGGCGCAAGGUUAAAACUCAAAUGAAUUGACGGGGGGCCGCACAAGCGGUGGAGCAUGUGGUUUAAUUC